AAAUUGAAGAGUUUGAUCAUGGCUCAGAUUGAACGCUGGCGGCAGGCCUAACACAUGCAAGUCGAACGGUAACAGGAAGCAGCUUGCUGCUUCGCUGACGAGUGGCGGACGGGUGAGUAAUGUCUGGGAAACUGCCUGAUGGAGGGGGAUAACUACUGGAAACGGUGGCUAAUACCGCAUAACGUCGCAAGACCAAAGAGGGGGACCUUCGGGCCUCUUGCCAUCAGAUGUGCCCAGAUGGGAUUAGCUUGUUGGUGAGGUAACGGCUCACCAAGGCGACGAUCCCUAGCUGGUCUGAGAGGAUGACCAGCCACACUGGAACUGAGACACGGUCCAGACUCCUACGGGAGGCAGCAGUGGGGAAUAUUGCACAAUGGGCGCAAGCCUGAUGCAGCCAUGCCGCGUGUAUGAAGAAGGCCUUCGGGUUGUAAAGUACUUUCAGCGGGGAGGAAGGUGUUGUGGUUAAUAACCGCAGCAAUUGACGUUACCCGCAGAAGAAGCACCGGCUAACUCCGUGCCAGCAGCCGCGGUAAUACGGAGGGUGCAAGCGUUAAUCGGAAUUACUGGGCGUAAAGCGCACGCAGGCGGUCUGUCAAGUCGGAUGUGAAAUCCCCGGGCUCAA
rnacentral:rRNA from 1 species